GACGAACGCUGGCGGCGUGCCUAAUACAUGCAAGUCGAACGCUUUUUCUUUCACCGGAGCUUGCUCCACCGAAAGAAAAAGAGUGGCGAACGGGUGAGUAACACGUGGGUAACCUGCCCAUCAGAAGGGGAUAACACUUGGUAACAGGUGCUAAUACCGUAUAACACUAUUUUCCGCAUGGAAGAAAGUUGAAAGGCGCUUUUGCGUCACUGAUGGAUGGACCCGCGGUGCAUUAGCUAGUUGGUGAGGUAACGGCUCACCAAGGCAACGAUGCAUAGCCGACCUGGGAGGGUGAUCGGCCACACUGGGACUGAGACACGGCCCAGACUCCUACGGGAGGCAGCAGUAGGGAAUCUUCGGCAAUGGACGAAAGUCUGACCGAGCAACGCCGCGUGAGUGAAGAAGGUUUUCGGAUCGUAAAACUCUGUUGUUAGAGAAGAACAAGGAUGAGAGUAGAACGUUCACCCCUUGACGGUAUCUAACCAGAAAGCCACGGCUAACUACGUGCCAGCCGCCGCCCUAA
rnacentral:rRNA from 1 species